CCUACGGGUGGCUGCAGUGGGGAAUAUUGCACAAUGGGGGAAACCCUGAUGCAGCGACGCCGCGUGAGUGACGAAGUAUUUCGGUAUUUAAAGCUCUAUCAGCAGGGAAGAAAAUGACGGUACCUGAUCAAGACUCCCCGGCUAACUACGUGCCAGCAGCCGCGGUACUACGGAGGGGGCAAGCGUUAUCCGGAUGUACUGGGUGUAAAGGGAGCGUAGACGGCAGCACACGUCUGGAGUGAAAUGUCGGGGCUUAACCCCGGAACUGCUUUGGAAACUGUGCAGUUAGAGUGCAGGAGAGGUAAGGGGAAGUCCUGGUGUAGCGGUGAAAGGC
rnacentral:rRNA from 1 species